rnacentral:rRNA from 1 species
AGGAUGAACGCUGGCGGUAUGCUUAACACAUGCAAGUCGAACGAUCUUUUCGGAGAUAGUGGCGGACGGGUGAGUAACGCGUAAGAAUCUGCCUUCAGGUUUGGGACAACCAUUGGAAACGGUGGCUAAUACCGAAUGUGCCGAGAGGUGAAAGGCUUGCUGCCUGAAGAAGAGCUUGCGUCUGAUUAGCUAGUUGGUGGGGUAAGAGCCUACCAAGGCGACGAUCAGUAGCUGGUCUGAGAGGAUGAUCAGCCACACUGGGACUGAGACACGGCCCAGACUCCUACGGGAGGCAGCAGUGGGGAAUUUUCCGCAAUGGGCGAAAGCCUGACGGAGCAAUACCGCGUGAGGGAGGAAGGCUCUUGGGUUGUAAACCUCUUUUCUCAGGGAAGAAAAAAAUGACGGUACCUGAGGAAUAAGCAUCGGCUAACUCCGUGCCAGCAGCCGCGGUAAUACGGAGGAUGCAAGCGUUAUCCGGAAUGAUUGGGCGUAAAGGGUCCGCAGGUGGUAGUGUAAGUCUGCUGUUAAAGAGUCACGCUCAACGUGAUAAAAGCAGUGGAAACUACACAACUAGAGUACGGUAGGGGCAGAAGGAAUUCCUGGUGUAGCGGUGAAAUGCGUAGAUAUCAGGAAGAACACCGGUGGCGAAAGCGUUCUGCUAGACCUGUACUGACACUGAGGGACGAAAGCUAGGGGAGCGAAUGGGAUUAGAUACCCCAGUAGUCCUAGCCGUAAACGAUGGAUACUAGGUGUGGCUUGUAUCGACCCGAGCCGUACCGUAGCUAACGCGUUAAGUAUCCCGCCUGGGGAGUACGCACGCAAGUGUGAAACUCAAAG